rnacentral:lncRNA from 1 species
UUCUAAGAAUUACUAAUCAAAAUCCGUAUCCACAUAAACUAAUAAUAUCCACAUUUUCACUAAAAACAAAAAAUGAGAUAAUAAUCUUGUGAUCUUCAAAGGUCUUCAAUCUCAUAGCUAGUCAUCCGAAACCAUUCGAUCCGCAAGCUAAAUACCACCCAUAGUUCUUUUAUCUGCAAUUUGAAAAUGCACAUUGAUUAUUUCCAACAUGCAUGUGUUUUGAGUAUUUCAAUAUUAUCUAGAAGAAGAAUAAAAAAUAAAUAUAGACUUGAGAGAAGAUAAAUUUUGAAUUAUAAUACUUGAGAGAAAAUAUAUAAGUUCCAUGUGGAACACAUUAUCUACACAUUUUAUAAAUAGCAUAUAUUAUAUAAAUAAAAAGUCUUACCAGGAAGAUUCACCAAUGAAGAACGAUUGAAAAGCUGGAUUACUAGCUAAAUCUGCUAGAAAUGCCUCUGUUUUAGCCUGUCGAGCAUUCAGCAUCUGAAGUUGUGUAGAGAGCUGCUUCUCGGUUUCUUCUGCGUUUCGCUUAUACUCUUCAAAAGCUAUAUUAUUGGAAUUGUAUGCUACAGAUUGUGAUGUUG